GUGGCGCACGGCUGAGGAACACGUGGGUGACCUGCCCCAGAGUGGGGGAUACCCCGUCGAAAGACGGGGAUAAUCCCGCAUACGCUCUACGGAGGAAAGCCCCUACGGGCGCUCUGGGAGGGGCCUGCGGCCCAUCAGGUUGUUGGUGUGGUAACGGCGCACCAAGCCACUGACGGGUACCCGGUCUGAGAGGACGGCCGGGCAGACUGGGACUGCGACACGGCCCAGACUCCUACGGGAGGCAGCAGCAAGGAAUUUUCCCCAAUGGGCGGAAGCCUGAGGGAGCAACGCCGCGUGGAGGACGACGGCCUUCGGGUUGUAAACUCCUUUCGGGUGGGACGACCGCGACGGUACCACCAGAAGCAGCCCCGGCUAACUCUGUGCCAGCAGCCGCGGUAAGACAGAGGGGGCAAGCGUUGUCCGGAGUUACUGGACGUAAAGGGCGCGGAGGCGGUCUGCGGCGUCGGCGCUGAAAGCCCCCGCUUAACGGGGCGAGGCGUGCCGAUACGCGCAGACUUGAGGCGAGCAGAGGGUGUGGAAUUCCGGGUGGAGCGGUGAAAUGCGUAGAGAUCCGGAGGAACGCCAGUGGGGAAGCCGGCCACCUGGGCUCGUCCUGACGCUGCGGCGCGACCGCGUGGGGAGCAAACCGGAUUAGAUACCCGGGUAGUCCACGCCGUAAACGAUGCCAGCUCGGCGUGUGGCGCACGGUCGUGCGCUGCGUGCCUUAGCUCACGCGAUAAGCUGGCCGCCUGGGGACUACGAGCGCAAGCUUAAAACUCAAAGGAAUUGACGGGGGCCCGCACAAGCAGCGGAGCGUGUGGUUUAAUUCGACGCAACACGAAGAACCUUACCUGGGCUUGACAUGACGCUGCACGCCGUCGAAAGACGGCCGCCUCCGAGGGCCCGUCAAGGGCG
rnacentral:rRNA from 1 species